GGUGGAUACAGCGUGAGCGCGCAUUUUCGAAUGGCUGCUGAUCACUAUUCCAGAAAGAUCAAAGCAAGGCCAACCAGGAUGAAAUAAAAAUGUGUAUCAAGAAUUCAACCUAUGGGUCUCUUGAUCAUCACUGUACACACCUGAUUCAGAUCUUCAGGUCAAAGAGAGGUCUCACUGUGUUGCCAUUGAGUGCUUCCAGUACUUCUUGGUGAUGACCCUUCAGAGCAUGAGUUCUUCAAAGCAUGUUUUCUUCAGAUUAUGGAGACUCAUGCCAACAUGUGCCCACUGGAUUCCUUAACCGAGAAAAUUAAGAUGUGGCUCUGCAACCCCUGUCCUUCCACCUCCACCCAUCCUCAGUGGGAAUCAUCUAGGAGGGGAAUGUUGAAAUGGACAAUAUACCCCAGGCCAUGUAACUUUUUGGAUUAACCUAUAUACUACACCUACCUAGUGCAUGGACAAUACCCUUCUUUUCAUUCAACAAGUUUGGGUAAGAAGACGCUGAAGGGUAAGAUUCUGGCUGUUAAAAAAAAUCAACUUGCCAUGUAAAAAGGUACAGAAAAGGCAUAUUCCUUCAGGCUUGCUGUCCUAACUGUGAGAUAAAUUUUUUUUAAACUAUGCCUUAGUGUUUGGCAAGUGUUAAUAUUCCAUAAUGUUACAAUUUAAUAACAUA